rnacentral:lncRNA from 1 species
UGUUUUUUUAGCCAGUUAGCCAAAAAGCCAACCCUAAAAUAAUUGCAUCCCUUGUUUGAAACCCCCUUGAGCCUAUUAUCCUUUUUUUUGUUUAAAACUCAUUACAAGCCGAGAAGUGAAAAACAAUGUUAUCACCCUAUUCAAAGGGUUGAAAGAGUCUUGUUUGGAGUUGUGUGGGGUUGAAUAACUAUGUUUGUAAUGUUUCAGAAGUUGGCAGAAAAGAAAAAAAAUAGAAAAAAAAGGGAAUGG